CUCGAUUAUUCAAACUCAACACGUAGGUUGACAUUUGAAGUUCUCAGAAGCUCUAAACUUAUUAUAAGAAUUAGACGGUAAAAAUGGACCCCAAAAUCGUUUUAAUUUUCUUGGCUCUCGUGACACUUUUCACCAGUACCAUGGCCUACGAUGAAGUGAGGUGCGAUGCUCCUCCAAGCGUGACAGGACGAUGCAGGGCCAUGUUUCGCAAGUGGGUCUUUAAGAAAACCAUAUGUCAGAGAUUGUUAUAUGGCGGGUGUAAUGCCACAGCAAACUUAUUUGAAUCAAGAGAAGAAUGCGUAGCAGCUUGCAAAAAGCCAUAAGAUAUUAAAUCAAUACUCGUUAAUCAAAAUAAAAAUGUAACAUAAAGUCUUGUAGGACAUUAAAACUGCCUAAUACGGCUUUGCAUGUGGUGACAGAAUCGUCAUCAGAUACCACAAA